rnacentral:rRNA from 1 species
GUGUCAGCCGCCGCGGUAAGACGAACCGAGCGAACGUUGUUCGGAAUCACUGGGCUUAAAGGGCGCGUAGGCGGGUGCUCAAGUCUGUGGUGAAAUCCUCCGGCUCAACCGGAGAACUGCCAUGGAUACUGGGUGCCUCGAGGGUGGUAGGGGUAUGCGGAACUAUCGGUGGAGCGGUGAAAUGCGUUGAUAUCGAUAGGAACUCCGGUGGCGAAGGCGGCAUACUGGACCACUUCUGACGCUGAGGCGCGAAAGCCAGGGGAGCGAACGGGAUUAGAUACCCCAGUAGUCC